GCGAAUGCGUCAGACCGGAAACGCAAGCUUGUGCAAAAAAUUUCGCAUUUCGCUGCGUUCCAAAGUUCAAGUUUGGUGAACUCUGACUUGCGAAUUCGCAUCACGUGAAGACCAGUAGAAGACAGAUUCAUCACGGCAUGGCCUCUUGGCUGAAUUAAAAUAAUGAUAUUUUUGCAGUAAAGUCAACAUCCGAAGAAAUUUCACACGUUCAAAGUCCAGUGUGACCGUGGCUUUAGGGGUGCAGAACGACAUGAGGAAACUUCAGCAAGAGCCCAUUUUAGGAGAAGAUGAGCCUGUGGGCAUGCGGCGGGACACACUUCAGUGGAGGAAAUUCAUCACAGCACCCUUCGCUCCUUGUUUUAAUUACACACAACAAACGGCAUAGAUGUUUCC